UGCUGGAGGUAUCAGAAGUGCGAAUGCUGACAUAAGUAACGAUAAAGCGGGUGAAAAGCCCGCUCGCCGGAAGACCAAGGGUUCCUGUCCAACGUUAAUCGGGGCAGGGUGAGUCGACCCCUAAGGCGAGGCCGAAAGGCGUAGUCGAUGGGAAACGGGUUAAUAUUCCCGUACUUGGUGUUACUGCGAAGGGGGGACGGAGAAGGCUAUGUUGGCCGGGCGACGGUUGUCCCGGUUUAAGCGUGUAGGUGUGUGUUCCAGGUAAAUCCGGUUCACUUUAACACUGAGGCGUGAUGACGAGGCACUACGGUGCUGAAGCAACAAAUGCCCUGCUUCCAGGAAAAGCCUCUAAGCAUCAGGUAACAUCAAAUCGUACCCCAAACCGACACAGGUGGUCAGGUAGAGAAUACCAAGGCGCUUGAGAGAACUCGGGUGAAGGAACUAGGCAAAAUGGUGCCGUAACUUCGGGAGAAGGCACGCUGACAUGUAGGUGAAGUGAUUUACUCAUGGAGCUGAAGUCAGUCGAAGAUACCAGCUGGCUGCAACUGUUUAUUAAAAACACAGCACUGUGCAAACACGAAAGUGGACGUAUACGGUGUGACGCCUGCCCGGUGCCGGAAGGUUAAUUGAUGGGGUCAGCGCAAGCGAAGCUCCUGAUCGAAGCCCCGGUAAACGGCGGCCGUAACUAUAACGGUCCUAAGGUAGCGAAAUUCCUUGUCGGGUAAGUUCCGACCUGCACGAAUGGCGUAAUGAUGGCCAGGCUGUCUCCACCCGAGACUCAGUGAAAUUGAACUCGCUGUGAAGAUGCAGUGUACCCGCGGCAAGACGGAAAGACCCCGUGAACCUUUACUAUAGCUUGACACUGAACAUUGAGCCUUGAUGUGUAGGAUAGGUGGGAGGCUUUGAAGUGUGGACGCCAGUCUGCAUGGAGCCGACCUUGAAAUACCACCCUUUAAUGUUUGAUGUUCUAACGUGGACCCGUAAUCCGGGUUGCGGACAGUGUCUGGUGGGUAGUUUGACUGGGGCGGUCUCCUCCUAAAGAGUAACGGAGGAGCACGAAGGUUGGCUAAUCCUGGUCGGACAUCAGGAGGUUAGUGCAAUGGCAUAAGCCAGCUUGACUGCGAGCGUGACGGCGCGAGCAGGUGCGAAAGCAGGUCAUAGUGAUCCGGUGGUUCUGAAUGGAAGGGCCAUCGCUCAACGGAUAAAAGGUACUCCGGGGAUAACAGGCUGAUACCGCCCAAGAGUUCAUAUCGACGGCGGUGUUUGGCACCUCGAUGUCGGCUCAUCACAUCCUGGGGCUGAAGUAGGUCCCAAGGGUAUGGCUGUUCGCCAUUUAAAGUGGUACGCGAGCUGGGUUUAGAACGUCGUGAGACAGUUCGGUCCCUAUCUGCCGUGGGCGCUGGAGAACUGAGGGGGGCUGCUCCUAGUACGAGAGGACCGGAGUGGACGCAUCACUGGUGUUCGGGUUGUCAUGCCAAUGGCACUGCCCGGUAGCUAAAUGCGGAAGAGAUAAGUGCUGAAAGCAUCUAAGCACGAAACUUGCCCCGAGAUGAGUUCUCCCUGAGACUUAGAGUCUCCUGAAGGAACGUUGAAGACGACGACGUUGAUAGGCCGGGUGUGUAAGCGCAGCGAUGCGUUGAGCUAACCGGUACUAAUGAACCGUGAGGCUUAACCUUACAACGCCGAAG
rnacentral:rRNA from 1 species